AUGCAUGUACUGAACCUGUACGACUCGGUCCUUGGACACGUGUGUGCCCAUGGAACCGCCCCAGGACAGCCGGGGUGCCCGCUGGCGUGUCCUCCUGCUCCUCUAGACCCUCGUGCACCCCCUCCUGGCCCCCACGAGCGCUCGUCUGCAUUGUCUAGACUUCCAUGGAGGCGUACGGUGUGUUCUUGGUGUCUGGCUUCUCCCACGCAGCGCAGAAAGGACACACACGCUCCCUGUUCCCCAUGGUCACAGCGACAGCUGCAUGCUGGGUGGCUUGAAGCAGCAGGGUUUCGCGCUCUCCCCGUGGUGGAGGCCGGAAGCCGCCAUGCAGGUGUCACAGGGCUGCACUCCCUCCAUGUGUCCCAUCUCUGCCUCCGUCAUUGUCACCAUUGUCACAUGGCUUCUCUCUCUUAUCAGGAUGCUUGUCUUUGAUGUAGGACCUAUCCUGCUCCAGGAUGAGCUCAUCUCAUGAUCUUGAAUUACACCUGCAAAGUCCCUUUUCCCAAAUAAGGCCCCGAUCCCUGGUUCAGGGGUCGGAUGCAGGGGUGCUCCUUCCGAGGUGCCACUGUCCUGCCCCCGCGCAGCCUGGUCUCUGAGGGGCUGUCCCUUGUGCGCUGGCCGGGGGUGGUAGGGCUGCCUGGGGUUCCUCAGGCCCGGGCUCCGUGCUCGGAGGGCUGGCCCGGGGCUGGCCAGAGAAGGUCUGUGACAAGCAUACAGAGACCUGCACCCUUCGAACGUGCUCAAGACACCAUUGCUGUUGCCAAGACGCGGGCACAUCCAUUGUACCGAGUUUCCCUCCGUUUCCUGUCUCCUGAAGUUCCCUGAGUGGGGCCAAGGUGCUCCCUCCAGAAGUUUCCACGGAGCAGACCCUUGCUGGGAUGGGGGGGGGGGAGGCCUCGCUGAAGGAAGAUUUUGGCACCGUUGUGACCUAUUUUUAAACACCAUUUUUGAGGGGCACCUGGCUGGCGCAGUGGGAAGAGUGAGUGACUCUUGACCUCAGGGUUAUGAGUUCAAGCCCCAUGUUGGGUGUGGAGAUUACUUAAAAAUAAAAUCUUUAAAAAAUUUUAAAAAUAC
rnacentral:lncRNA from 1 species